rnacentral:rRNA from 1 species
ACGUCACAGAGGGUGAGAAUCCCGUGCGAUGAGAUGCCCAAUUCUAUGUAAGGUGCUUUCGAAGAGUCGAGUUGUUUGGGAAUGCAGCUCUAAGUGGGUGGUAAAUUCCAUCUAAAGCUAAAUAUUGGCGAGAGACCGAUAGCGAACAAGUACAGUGAUGGAAAGAUGAAAAGAACUUUGAAAAGAGAGUGAAAAAGUACGUGAAAUUGUUGAAAGGGAAGGGUUUGAGAUCAGACUCGAUAUUUUGUGAGCCUUGCCUUCGUGGCGGGGUGACCCGCAGCUUAUCGGGCCAGCAUCGGUUUGGGCGGUAGGAUAAUGGCGUAGGAAUGUGACUUUACUUCGGUGAAGUGUUAUAGCCUGCGUUGAUGCUGCCUGCCUAGACCGAGGACUGCGAUU